UACAGAGGGGGCAAGCGUUGUUCGGAAUUACUGGGCGUAAAGGGCGCGUAGGUGGCCUGUUAAGUCGAACGUGAAAUCCCUGGGCUCAACCCAGGAACUGCGUCCGAUACUGGCAGGCUUGAAUCCGGGAGAGGGAUGCGGAAUUCCAGGUGUAGCGGUGAAAUGCGUAGAUAUCUGGAGGAACACCGGUGGCGAAGGCGGCAUCCUGGACCGGCAUUGACACUGAGGCGCGAAAGCCAGGGGAGCAAACGGG
rnacentral:rRNA from 1 species